rnacentral:rRNA from 1 species
UACGGGGGGGGUAAGCGUUGUUCGGAAUUACUGGGCGUAAAGGGCUCGUAGGUGGCCAACUAAGUCAGACGUGAAAUCCCUCAGCUUAACUGGGGAACUGCGUCUGAUACUGGAUGGCUUGGAUCCGGGAGAGGGAUGCGGAAUUCCAGGUGUAGCGGUGAAAUGCGUAGAUAUCUGGAGGAACACCGGUGGCGAAGGCAGCUCGCUGGGACGGUACUGACGCUGAGGCGCGAAAGCGUGGGGAGCGAACAGG